CGUGGGGGCAAAGGGCGCACGGUGCCUCGUCUCCGCGUGAACGGUGAUUAAGGAGUGAAGAGCGUGCCCAGUUGGGGACACUGAGCUGCAGAGACAGACCUGCCAGAGGACACAGCCAGGAAACGAGAGCUGGGCUGGGAGCUGAGCCCUGACUUCCUCCGAAGUGCCGACGGGGGCAUCUCGGGCCUGAGGACAGCGGUUUGAUGUACUUUCCACGUGGGUUAGUUUGUUUCUACGUCUGACGCUCACCCUGGGAGAGGUUCCCGGGACCUACCUGCGACCACGAGCUCCAGGCUGAAGGAGUUGUGUCCAGCCCGGUUGGUGGCCACGCACGUGUAGACGCCGGCGUCCCGGGCCGCGACGGGCUCGAUGAUCAGAGAGUGCACCCCGUUCUCUCGCACCAGCAUCUUGUGGGCGCUGUCCUGGCGGAUGGGCUUGCCGUCCAGCAGCCAGCUGAGAUCGGGGGUUGGCAGCCCACUGACCUAAACCGGAAAGGAAGUGCGAAUGAAUUCCUCUGCUACGGAAACAGAGUGAGGUCACGAACACCUAAGACGCCGGCACAAACUCCUCCUUCCGGACAACAUGAGGCUCUUAGCAUCAGGCCCACACACCCGAUGAGACCUGCUCACCCCAGGACCUGAUUAAGAAGCCCUAUCAUAAAGCGACGGAAUGAAGAUGCUGCUCAGAUGUCUCUCAGAAACAGGAAAUGGGAGGCCUGAGAGAGUAGAUUUUGUGCAUCCUUCUUGCUUUGGAGUAUGCUGCCAGAGCCGCCUUUAAGAGCAACAUGCAGGGAAGACUUAGGAGUGAGGUGCUGAAACUAACCCUGCCGGUGAUCAUUGGAAGGAGACAGUGGCCCACGAACGGCUGACGUGCACGGAAGGCCCCGAGUAAAGCCGGAGAGAAUGGACCCGCUACAGCUGUGCUGUGCGCAGGGAUGCGGGGGCAGGUGAUGCUGGGAGCAAGUCCCGCCCCGGGAGGCCGGCAUCAAACCUGCGAGCGCUGAGGCCGGAGCUGCCGCCCAAACGCCAGCACGAGCCCGCGCGGGGCGUGCACCCGCCCGCUGCUGCUUGCCGCGUCCUGCUCCCCCGGUGGCCUCACUGGCCUGUCCUCCCCUGCGCCCCUGGCCCUCCAGGACCCCCUGAGCAAGGCCCGGGGACCGGCCGGCCCCACCACCGGCCCCUUCUGUGGCCACGUGUGUCACUGAGAACCGCAGCCCCGCUGCCCGUCCUCACGUGCACUCGCCCGGGGCCACGGGGCAGCGGAAGCGCCCAAGGUACAGCAAGUCUGAGCUACGAGGCUAGGGUCUGAGACGAGCUUGUGACCUAAGCGACCGGAGGAGGGACCUUCGCACACGAGCUGAUCUUAGGGAACCCAGAGGGCAGCCCGCGUGGUGCUGGUGAGGAAAGCGUGGCUAGAGCCUGGCUGCCACCGACCAGCGUGUCCGAGGUGACGUGGCUGUCGCGCGGGGCGGCUCCCGGCCCCGCCCACACGCGGCACGUGUCGGCGGGCGCCGGGCCCAGCCGGCACGUCCUCCUCCCCACCCCCGGCUACAGCGGAGCCACACGCCGCCACGCUUCCUGCCGUGUCCCCACCCUGUCCCCGCGGUGCUGGCAGCGCUGGGUUACAGUGACAGUAAAAGAGCAGCAGCGCGCGGGAAGGGACGCGUGCGAUACCUUCUGCCGUGAGGCUGGCCGGCGGGCGAGCGGGGGCUGCGGCCUCUCUGGUUCACGGCCUGCACCAUCAGCCGUCCCGUGCAGCUGACGCGGCCCUGCGGGGACAGAGGGGACCGACGGUUAGCGGCCGGCGCCCCCGCACCGCCACCGCCACCAUCACCACCGCCCUGGUCUCCACAGGAUGCUCUUCCCAGCAGACCGACGUGCCGCACCAGCGCGACCCCAGCCUGUCUCUGAAACACGCCCCCCGGGACGUCUUGUGAUGAUGCCACUUUCAAGGACGCAAAUUUACUCCAGAGGAAAAGCCAAGUACUCCAAGCGUAGGAGGGAGACUGUGAGGAGAGCAGACCAACCUUUCCACCUCACGCUGGUGCCUGCAGGGCGCCACGCACACAGGCACAUCCCAGGUGUCUGACGGCUGCGUCCGAGGCCCAGGAGGAAAGGGGUCCUGCCCAACCCUAAGCACUGUCUGUGCCUGGGAUACACUUCGUCUCCUUUCCCCGCUCCCACACACACGGAAUAACGGAAGUGAAUGUUUGAAGGGAAGCUUGGAAGGUGCCAGAAAACCUUAUAACGUUGAAACACACACAACCAACAAACCAGCCUUUUAAAUUUAACUCAGCUGCUCACUGCUUUUCCAUUCCAGACUAGUCCUCAGUGUUUAAAGCUAUAGCGCGAAUCACGCGUUUGAAUUCUUAAGGUGGUUCUCUGUUAACCAUCCAGCUAGUAACGCGUUAUCUGAGGCCUCCUGCAAGGCCAGUGAUUUAUGUGCUACGGACAAAACAUCUGCAUUGCCCGGUUUAUGAACUCUAACCUGCAGCCCACAGGUCUCGGGAAAGCCUGCCGCUUGCACACACAAUGCAACUGGAGGACGCAGCAAACGGUGCACAACAGCCAUUCCAAACCGGAGAGCAGGACAGGGGAACCUAGCAACGCAGCAAAACAAAGUCAAACAUCUGUGUUUCGAUUCCGCCGUGUCUUCAAGAUGGGGUUAGAGUCGGCCAUAAGCGGAGCCGGCGGUCCUCGGUUCGGCACCCGCCUGCGGUAACGCGGCACAGUCCCUCAGGGUCCCACUCAACCGUGCGACUGUCUCCCGGGAGCUGCCGGGCUGAGGACGCUCCGCGGCCAGCGCCCGCCCAGAGCUGCGUUCUGCCCCAGGUGGAGACUGCACGCCAUCAACAACGUCUGACGUGCUUCUUACUCCCUGAAGGCUGACCCGGGUGGAAAAUCAUUCUAUAACAUAAUCUGCUGACCGCAUUGUCCUCUUUCCUUGCUUCUCACCCUUUCUGUUGGCUGCUCUCGGGGAUUAUCUUCCGCUGCUCUGGAGAGCUCGGCCGUCUGUGUUUGUUUCAUUACCGAACUCAUCUUUCCAUCAGCCUUUGCCUCUUUCCCGCGGUCACUUCGCAUCGUGGAGGCCACGGUGUACCAGAAAAGAGAUGGAGUUGUCUCCCUCCUAAACCCAAAUCCUUCCAUAACGUGGGAGAAAAUGAAGGUACCAAAGGGCGUCAAGGAAGCAGGGAGCCCAGGUCAGCGGACCCCACGUUAUGCUUCUGGGACUAACGUAUCUUGAAAAACUUAGCUUUUACUCUUGAGAUUUUUUUUCAGUGCCUAUUUACAUCACGCUUCUUUUAAACCGUGUUGUAAUUCACAAACUACAGAAGGGCGAAGUCCUUUACUACACCGUAGCAGCUGCUUCUGAAGCGGAGGCUACGGCGUGACGCGUGUCUGUCACCGCGUCCCUACGGCAGCAAGGGGCAGGCCGAGGGACGGCGCGCUGCUCGUCAGGCCCGAGACGCCGCCGUGUUCUCCUCAGUGGGUAGCACGUUCACUCCAGUUUCUCGGUGGUGCCUCACAGGGCCCACAUCUGGCAGCUGCGGACACACCUGCUACUGAAGGGCCGGCCGGGGAGGAGGCGUCACCCCUGCGCGGACAUCAGCGGGCGCCUCACUCGGAAGCCUGGAGCGGCGACUGCCGAGCGCCACGAACACCGGAAGUCACAACCGUGUCAGGCCGCGGGCCGGCGCCCACGCGCGGGGCACGUCCUCGGAGUCCCCUCGGGAGCCUCGCCUCGGACGCCGGCCUUUCGGUCAUUUCGGUGGGAGGGGAGCCGCUUAGUCACGAGAAGGCGCCCGUUCGCGAGGAUCCUCGUGGGCCCGACCUCGCGAGCCGGCGGGAUUCUGGCAGCGGGAGCUGCUCUGCCACCGGGGCCGCCAGGGCUCUGGGGCGCGCGCCAGCCACGCCGCUGUUUGCCUGACUCACAGCCAGGGCGGGAGAGCCUGCCAGGAGAGCCGGGCGUCCGGUGACCUGCGGGAGGCGGCCACUCCCCAUCUCUCUGUCUCGUCCCCGCCAGGUAAAGGGCGAAGACCCAGACCGGGCGGGCCCCGGGGGGCGCGGCAGCGGAGCGCACGACCCGGCACGAGGGCGGCUGCCCGCCAGCCCGGCUGUGCACGUGGGGCCUGCAGCCGAGCCCUCCUCCCAGGGCCCCGGCCGUGCAGCCGCCACCGAGCGGCCCCGCCGGGCACGCCUCUCCCGGGGUGGAGGCCGGGAGGCCCUGCGCCGGCGCCGGCGCCGUGCUGGGGAGAGGCCAGCCCGCACUGACUUCUGGACUCGUGGCGCUGAGGGAGGGACACGCCGGGCUCCAGGGCUCCUGCCAGCUCAGCGUGCUGCUCCGAGAAGGGGGCCAGCGUCCUCGAGCUUCAACAGCGGCAGUGACCUGCGCUGACGAGGCACGUCACGUGCCAGGUAAACCGAGCGCUUUACAGGCAUCGUUUAGAUUCGUGUUAUCUUUCUCGCUUCACGGACGAGGAAGCGGGCGCAGAGGUUCAGGACCUGCUAAAGGCCACGCAGCCAGGACCCAACUCAGACCUGCCCGGUGCCGGGGGCUCGCUCUUACCCCCGGCUCUUCCGAACUGUCCCCACUGUCUCCACCCCUGGUCUUCGUCGUGUCACUUCCGUCUUCUGACUCUGCCCCUCCUCCUUCCCCGUGUUGACACGGGCAUCUUCAGCCCUCCUUCCCCUGGCUGGUCAGGGGUUUAGUAAACACGCAGAGACCGCCACCCUGGAGCCCAGCGGCCUGCCCGCUGCCACUUGCCUGGUCCUUCCCGUUCGAACUUUCCCACGUGGAACGAUACGUCACCUGAAGGAGACUAGAAGCAGACUCAAAACUGCAGUCUGACAUUUACCUUUUCUUCUAUAACAUUGCUCACUCCAGUAACAACAGUUCAAAACAUUCACUAGGACAAACGCCUUGAAGUGGACAGCGGGACCCCAGGAAUGGUGAGUACAUAAGGAGCACAGUGAAUUCCAGCUCCAUAAGCCACCCUAGCCUUCCUAGGGCACGAGAGAAGUAAAGGACCCAGAGUGAAGAAAAAUUCUGCAUUUUGCUGAGCACUCCACUUUUUUAAGAGGCAGAAAACUGAAAAUCGAAAUUGGUUAAUAGAGUUGUAGUAGUAACAUCAAAGAUCAAAGAUCACAGACCACCAUAACAAAUGUAAUAAUAAUGAAAAAGUGUGAAAUAUAACAAGAAUUACCAAAGGUAACACAGACAUGUAAAGUGAGCAAAUGCUAUUAGAGAAACAGCAGUGAUAGACUUACUCAACACAGGGUUGCCACAAAACUUCAAUGUGUAAAAUACGCAAUAUCUACAAAGUGCAAUAAAGAUGCAAUUUAAAAAAAAAGUAGUCAAGGAAACAUACUAAAAAUAUAAUUAUAAAAAGAGAGUUCCACUUUCGUUCCCUCAAAUACGAACAACAUGAACACAAAUAAGCGUUAAAAUGGAACUUAUUAGUAAAGGUUGUGAUUUUGACUAUUUUUCAAAGGGAUGGUCAUGUGUUCACUGAUUGAAAAGUUAGAACCUCAAGAAGGCGCAUUAACUUGGAAACUGUUUCUUGUCAAUGGAGAGUCAGCUGUCCUGGAUCACAGCCUGAUUUGUGGGCAAUUUCAGUUUCACUCUUAUUACUGUCAUUGCAGAAAUGUAUCUUUACAUGACAAUGUAACCUCAGGACAGGAUAACACUGUACAAACUUUCAGAAGUCUGUAAGCUUUGCUAAAAUUAUUUGUAUCAUUUUCUAACAAACACUUAAUA